rnacentral:lncRNA from 13 species
GGCAGAUCUUGCCCAAUCAGUGCACCAACUCACAUGUCUACAGAGAGACCUGGAUGGAGGCCAUUGGACCAUGCUGUUCUUCUAAUAGUGAUGAGCAUCGAAUGGCAGACAUCAGUUCCAGAACUCAAGCGAUGUUCAAGGCCUCGCUCAACUUGUCCUCCAUCUACCUCGCAAGCUUUUUUGGUCCACCACACUCCAUCAGACAUACUAUAUUGUUCAAACCACACUGAACUUCUCCGUCAGAUUUUCUAAUGCUUUGUCACACUGUUUGCUUUUCACAUAGUUAACUGUCAUUUAGAAUACUAAAAAUUUUUAUCUUUCGUUCAUCUAGAAAACCCCUACUUACCCUUCCAAACCCAGCUCCAGUACUGUCUCCUCAGUAAAGCCUUUCUUAGUACUCCUUUCAGUGGCAUCAUUCUCUUUUGUGCUCUCAUAAUAGGGAAGACUUUAUUUUAUUGGGCUGCAAUUAUCUUUUUGAAAUAUCUGUUUGUUUCAAGCCAUGUGAGUCAUAUUAUAAUAAGGUCCUUAGAAAUAUAAGCUCUCAGGUGCCCCACAGACAAGAAUUUUAAUCUUCAACAAGUUACACACUUUGCUAAGCCUCAGUUUCCUCCCCUAUAAAAGGCAGGUAAUUUUAGUAUUAAUGUCGUGAGAUUGUCACAAGAAUUGGGAUUUUAAAAAAUGAGAUAAUGUUCAUGAAGGGUUUAGAGACAGAGCUUGGUGGAGUAAGUGAUCGAUAUAUGUUAGUCAGUGCCAUUAUUAAUUCAAGGUCAGGGACAUCCUUCAUUACUGCGUUCCACAUUUUUAUACAUGUAGCACAUAGUGGAUAUUCAAUUGAUAUUUAUUAGAUGAAAGAAAGAUGAAACAAACAAAGAAAGCAAGACACAUGCCUAUGGCUUUGUAGGAAAGAAAGAGAAUGAAAAAGAAAGGAAAAGAGAAAAUGGGGAAGUGGAAAAACCGAGUGCCACACUUCUCUGCGUAAAAUAAAUGUUUUUUUUUCAUUAGCUGAAUAAACA